rnacentral:misc_RNA from 1 species
GUGAAUCAUCGAAUUUUUGAACGCAAAUUGCACUCUCUGGUAUUCCGGAGAGUAUGCCUGUUUGAGGGUCAGUUUAAAUAAAAACCGGUGUGGUUGCGGCCUUUCGUGGUGGCGCACCGGAUGUGGGUGGUCUUUCCUUUGGGUAUGUGACCUAUAAUGUGGCAUGAUUUUUUCGAACGCAUUUAAAUGAUUUGACGUACGUUUGCGCGUUAGAAUAGUAAGUGUGGUCAUC